UACGAAGGGGGCUAGCGUUGCUCGGAAUCACUGGGCGUAAAGGGUGCGUAGGCGGGUUUUUAAGUCAGGGGUGAAAUCCUGGAGCUCAACUCCAGAACUGCCUUUGAUACUGAAGAUCUCGAGUCCGGGAGAGGUGAGUGGAACUGCGAGUGUAGAGGUGAAAUUCGUAGAUAUUCGCAAGAACACCAGUGGCGAGGCGGCUCACUGGCCCGGUACUGACGCUGAGGUGCGAAAGCGUGGGGAGCGAACAGG
rnacentral:rRNA from 1 species